GACGAACGCUGGCGGCGUGCUUAACACAUGCAAGUCGAACGGUGAAGCGCUUGCCUUUUUGGUGGGUGUGGAUGAGUGGCGAACGGGUGAGUAACACGUGAGUAACCUGCCCUCUUCUUCUGGAUAACCCAUGAAAGUGGGGCUAAUACGGGGUAUUCCGGGUCUGUCGCAUGGCGGGUUUGGGAAAGAUUGCGCCUUUGGGUGUUUUCGGUGGGGGAUGGGCUCGCGGCCUAUCAGCUUGUUGGUGGGGUGAUGGCCUACCAAGGCGGUGACGGGUAGCCGGCCUGAGAGGGUGGACGGCCACACUGGGACUGGGACACGGCCCAGACUCCUGCGGGAGGCAGCAGUGGGGAAUAUUGCACAAUGGGCGCAAGCCUGAUGCAGCGACGCCGCGUGAGGGAUGGAGGCCUUUGGGUUGUGAACCUCUUUCGCCAGUGAAGCAGGCCUGCUCCUGUGUGGGUGGGUUGACGGUAGCUGGAUAAGAAGCGCCGGCUAACUACGUG
rnacentral:rRNA from 1 species